AUGAGCUGCAAAAUGGAUGGAUGGCUUAGAUAAAACACACGCAGUUUUGUACAGUACGUUUUCGGAUUCUCUCUCUAUCUCUCCCAUUUCUCAUACUAAAUUCCCUACAUAAGAAGAAACCCUAGCAAAGGAAAAACCAUCACUUUUCCAUCUAAAAAAUGUCAGAUUCUCUCUCUUUCACCUUUGAUUUCUAGGGUUUUGCUGGGAUUGAUCGUCGAUUUGGCGAGAUUGAUGUUCCUUUCCUAGUAUAUUCUCAAUUUGUAGGGUUUUGAUGGCUGAUUUGGUAAAUUUGAUGUUUGUUUGUUCAUAUUUUGUUAAUUUCUAGGGUUUUGAUGGCAGAUUUGGAGGAUUUGAUGGUCAUUUAUUCAUGUUUUCUUGAUUUUUAGGGUUUUGAUGGCCGAUUUGCAGGUUUUGGUGUUAACUACAAUAUUCCCCGGUGGCCCUUUUAUGAUGGACUAGCCAAUGGAUCUAGUAGAGAGGUUUUGGUGUAUACUUUCCUUUUCGCAGAGUACUAGGUCCUUUAUUUUAUUCUUUAAUGGACGUUCUUCUCUUUUCACCAACAUGAAUUUGGUGGCUAGCUUUCCAUAUACAGAAAAAGAUCGGGUUGUAGAAUGCUUUAGAAGGAACUACCCCUAUUCUGAGAAAGUAAAAAGUUAAGGCACCUAUGGAUCUAAAGAAAGAGCUGGAAAGAUUAAUAUAUGAACAAAAGUAUGGGGAAGCAUUCACUUCAACUUCAGCCCAUGAAUUGUUGGAUGUUUAUUUAGUUUUUGGAUUAUGCAGAUUUUGCUUAGUUUUUCAAAGUUCAGAAUUGAGAAGAUGAGCAUGUGCUCUUUAAGUAUUCUCUCUUUUUUUAUGACAUCUCAUCAUUGUCUUUUUCAAUACUUUCAGUUCUUCAGUUUUGGGUUUGUUUUGGAUUUUUAGGCUAUUAAUUCCGAUUGCAUAAACCAAUGCAAUCAUUCCAUUUAGGUUUUCUUUCUUCUUCUUUUUCUUCACGAUGAUUGAUUGAUUUUAUUUGGCCGGAUGUUGAAAAGAGAACUGAUGACCUACAACUGGUUGUAGUUUACCUAACAUACAAUGCACUUUUACAAGCAUUUUGUGACAGGGUGAUUGUGUUACCCACAUAGAAAAAUACACUGAUUGGAGAAUCCUUGCUGAUAUUAGAUGAGUUCUCAAUGUUUAGAAGUUGCCUCUUUAUACUUUAACAAAAAACAUAUAUAUAAAAGGAAACUUGCUCAUGUAGCAGACUUCCUCCCAUGCACCGAAGCAGGUAGACCCACUUUUUCCAUUUAAACCUAGGUUGAGUUAUUGCAGAUCAAUUCGUUUGAGCAUCCAAAUGCACCUCCAUACGUAAAUUUAGAUACCAAUUCAUGCAUUAAUUUUGAUUUCUUUCCUCUCUAGCUUUUCUUGAUUUACUGAAGAAAGUGUUUCCUUCUUUUUUGUAAUUGAUUUGUAUGUAAAGAUUCUUCCUUGUGGGUCACAAAUAUCUGAUGUGGCUGAUGAGGAAGUCUGCAAGCUGUAUGAAAAGUUUAAGAAAAGGGAGUCAUGUUCGAGUUCGUGUUCUUAGCUUUAGGCAUCUAAAAGGAUUGGCAAUGGGUGUUUAAAAGGUAACCUAGUUUCUCUUCUGUAGUUUCUUUUCCACUAUAGAAUAUCAAAAAGUGAGUUUUUAGGUUGGAGAAGGGUGUACUACUUCAUGGGAUUGCUACUUACCAGUUUUACUUCUUUUCCAUUACUCUUACAAUUGAGUAAUGGAGAAGGAUUUGAAUAUUGUAGAUGGAGUGAGGCACUUAAUUUCACUGUCAAUGUGAUUGAAUUGUUUGAAAUUGCUGAGUGGGAGAGGGGAUAGUGGAGAGGAGAACCAGGUGAAUGGGCUCAAAGAGGCUGGUUUUUCUUUACUAAGCCAACUCAAUAAAAGAGCUCUAAAUGUUCAAUGACUAGUAAUCAUCCCAAACUAACAAACCAAAAUUUUAGUCACAUAACUACGGUCAUUCAAAAUCCAAACUAGUAAUAAUCUCAAAACAAAAGAACAUAAGACAAUCAUUGCAAAGCCGAUUUGCAAUAUUACAGGUCCAAUCACCCCUCUGUCUGCUCCCUAAGCCUUCUGAUUGUACCGUUUAUGUUGAUAUUAAUUGUUCAUUUGUUCUUUACUACCAAAAUAAGGUUCUUAUUUAGGAUCUACAGGAUGCUAACUAUCAUGCUUUAAUAGAUGUAGACAUCUUUUUUCCAUAUGCAGGCUAGUUAGUGCAUUCAAAGGGCCUGUUUUCACCCAUGUGGAUGUCAAGCCUGGUAUGGUGGUGAAUGGGCUAUUUUCACCCAUGUAUAUAUUACCAGUAGAUAUGCAAAUGAUGUAGCUGUUAUUCUACUUCCUUCAAAUAUUACUGUCUUUACUAUUGAUUUUUUUGGCUCCGACUUAUUUGAUAGCGAUUAUGUGAGCUUUGGUUGGUACGAGGUAUGGUGAUUUGUUCUCUUUCCGAAUGCCCAGCUUUCACUGCGUAGUGUUUAUUCCGCUCAAGUUUUUUAUUUGAUUCUUUAUCUACAUGUCAGAAAGAUGAUCUUAGAACUGUGGUGUCCUAUCUACGAAGCAAUCCAAAAUUUUCAUGCAUAGGUCUUUGGGGACGAUCUGUGGGUGUUGGCACAAGCACUAUCAGAAGUAAAAAUUGGUAUGGAUGUUGUUUGGAUCGAAUCACAGAAGUUGGAUUCUAUGAAGAUGAAUAAGCAUGAGGUUGAUAAUGUUUUCGGGUAUGAAUUUGACAAUCCCAAUUGGAAUCCAAGUUACAUGGUGCCUGAGCAUGUGGAAUGGGAGUAAAUGGCACUAUCUCUAUUCCCAAAAGCAUUUUCUUCUUCUUUUUUUCCAUGGGGGAAUUGAUACUCUGGCAGAGUGUGAUGGAUGAUAUGCAGGCACUCAGAAAUAACUUCAAAAUUGCAUGAGUGGCAGAGAAAGUCAAUUGAACUGUUAAAAAAUUAUCGGUACAAGAUUAGAUGAUCAUGAACCAAAAUUUAGCACUUGAUUAUCUGACCAUGGGAGGUGGACAUUUAUUGGACAAUUAAGAAAAAUAUUUGAUGCUCCUACUUCAACAAACAAGUGUCCACGAAUCAGAGGUUA